CAACACAUAUCCCCACCCAAAUCUGGGUCCUUAAUCAUCAAAGGACGACAUGGGUCUGAUUACAUACUCACUUUAGCAAGUCAAGCGACUGAUCACCUCUCUGGCCCGAGCAAGCCUGGUCUAAGAUUAGUGACCAAGGACUCAAGGUAGAUUUGCAUUCCAGGUUUGCUGCAAGUCAAACUCCUCUGAUCAGUCCUCCAACUUCCUGAUCCCAGCCAACAAAAGACCAGUCGAAGGCAUAGCUCAAUGCAAUGAUACAUCAAUACUUUGUGCUAUUGGGUUGCCUAGCACUGCCAUUUCUGAUAUUAAGCAUGCACUCAUGUUAUGUUUUCUCUUCCCUCUUAGGUACUGCUCAACCCAAGCUAGUUAGAUGCACAAUAAAGGCAGAUAGGCAAAGAGAAAGAGUCAGACAGACACGCAGACAAGACAGAUUUUGCUUCAAUCAAUGCUGCUCUCAAUGAACAGAUACCAACAGUAAACAAAUCAAUCAACAGGUGCCAAAAGGGAAAGUGAAGGUCAAGAAAGCUGAUUGUUUAUCAGUACUAGCACCAAUCGAUACCAUGGAAACCCACAGAGCUGCGAGGAUACAAAGCAACCCCACCAUGUGUGGUUACAACAGGCAACAGUUAACAAACUCCAACAAUUACCAUAAGGUUCAAUCUAC